UAGAACCGCCAAAAGUGACCAUCAGCUAAGAUCGACGGUUGAGUUUGAACACCCAGAAUGUGACACUCACAUGCAAGCCUACCAGAAGGGAGACAAGAAAUGCCAAAGUGUUCAUCGGGGAGUUGAGCCGCUUGAUGAACAUAAGCUGGACUUGUGAGGUUACUAACUCGAUUGGGACAGGAAUCGGCCAAUUGGAAAACCUUUUACAUUGUGACGAUGCAGGUCAUUCCCAUAGCAAGUUCAACAUUCCAUGUGCGGCAGUGGGAGCGCUGAUCAUACCUCUUGUUGCAUUGCUUGUGGCAUUGCUCGUUAUUCUACUCAUCAAGAAACAACGCAAUUCAGCAGGUAAAUAAUUUGACACUGAAAAGUAGAAGUCUUUUCUUGGACAGCUACAGGUAUUUCAACACAUUACAGGUGUUAGAUAAUGCAGCUGACACCAAAGUCGGUGGAGU